rnacentral:rRNA from 1 species
UACGGAGGGUGCAAGCGUUAUCCGGAUUCACCGGGUUUAAAGGGUGCGUAGGAGGACAGGUAAGUCAGUGGUGAAAUCUCCGAGCUUAACUUGGAAACUGCCGUUGAUACUAUCUGCCUUGAAUAUUGUGGAGGUGAGCGGAAUAUGUCAUGUAGCGGUGAAAUGCUUAGAUAUGACAUAGAACACCAAUUGCGAAGGCAGCUCGCUACACAUAUAUUGACUCUGAGGCACGAAAGCGUGGGGAUCAAACAGG